AGUGCUAGUCACUCAGUUGGGUUUAAUUCUGUGACCCCAUGGACUAUACCCUGCCAGGCUCCUCUGUCCAUGGAAUUCUUCAGGCAAGAAUACUGGAAUGGGUAGCCUUUCCCUUAUCCAGGGGAUCUUCCCCACCCAGGGAUCCAACCCAGGUCUGCUGCAUUGCAGGCGAUUCUUUACCAGCUGAGCCACAGGGAAGCCCAAUUAAUAAGGGCACUUUUAAAAGAGAGACAGACAGGAAAAAAAAAAGAUUCAAAGCAAAAAAUUAAAACCCCAAACCCCUCUACUGCCUUACCAAAAUUAUCCCUGAGAAACAAUUACAUCGGCUGCUCUAUUCCUACUGUGGAGUAAGGGCCCCGAAGACAACUGUGGAGGAGGGAGCUGCCUGGAUUUUGCCCACAUUCUGAGUCUCUAGCCUCAGUUAAGAAAGAAAAAAACCUGUAGCAAUUAACCGUAGGAUACUGCAUGUGUCCUUUCGGUUUCAUUACUCAGAAACCUCACCCAUAACACAUGGCUGUAAAAACCUGCUCGCCUUUCAACUUUUAAGGAGCAGAGCAGGUUUCCGGAGGAACCAGACUCAAGGGGAGCCCCAGGGAAGAGCCAAAGCAGCUGGGAAUUUGAUACCCCGGUGCUCCAAAGCUAAAAGAAGAAUUAGAAGAAAGCUGCAUGAAUAAAGAUGGGAUCCUUCAUGAUACAGAAAAGACCUCAGCAGAGCAGUACGAAAGAGAAGCAGCUAAGAGGGAAAAGGAUUCUCUUGAGCAAAAGAUUAAAGAGCUGCUACAAAUGUUAGAGAACCAAGAAAGAGCCUUCAAGAUAUUUAGAGUCAAAAUCACCAGCAAGAUGAGAGAAAGAGACAAGCUUCUGAGAAGGAUGAACAAGAGGAUUGAGAGGCUGGAGAUCUUAAGAAAGAUAAGGGAAGAACAAGAGGAAUACUACAUGAAGAAAGAGGAGCAGAUCAAAAGAGAGGCAAGUGAGAGGGAAAAAGACCCUUCUGAGCGAAAGGUUAAAGAGCUGCAGCGACAGUUGGAGAACCAAAAGAGAGUUUUGGAGAGAUUAACAGCCAGAGUGAGAAAGGAGAUAAGAGAAAGAGAGAAGACCUCAGCAGAAGAGUGGGCCAGAGGAGAGGCAACUGAGAGGGCAAAGGAACCUCUUGAACAAAAGGCUAAAGAAUUACAGUCAAAGAUGGAGGGCGACAGAAGUGCCAUCUUGAAGGAAGUUAGACUCAAAACGACAAAGAUGAGAGAAAGAGAAAACCUUCUAAGAAGGAUGAACGAGAGGUUUGAGAUGUUGGAGAUCUUGGGGAUGAUAAAGGACGAGCUAGGGGAAUGCUGCAAGAAGACAGAUGAGCUUUGUAAUGCAGCCAAGACCUUGGCAGAAUGCACUAAAGGAGAGCCAUCUGAGAGGGAAAAGGAGCUUCUUGAGCAAAAGUAUAAGGAGAUAAGUCAAAAGGUGGAGGACCAAAAAAAAGACUUCGAAGAAUGUGUAGGCAAAAUGAUAGAGAAAACAAGAGAAAGACAAAAGAUUUCAGCAGAAGAGUAUGCCAAGAGAGUGGCAGCUGAGAGGGAAAAGGAACUUCUUGAGCAAAAGGUUAAAGAGCUGCAAGAACAGCUGGAAGACCAAGAAAGGGUCUCUGAGGAAUUAGGAGUCAAAAAGACAGAGAAGCAAAGAGAAAGAGAAAAGACAUCAGCAGAAAUGCUGGCCCAAUGGGAGGAUGCUAUGUGGGAAAAGAAGCAAAUGGUUAAAGAAUUGCAGCAAAAGUUGGAGGACCGAGAAAAAACGUUCGAGAGAUUUAGAGACAAACUCACAAAGGAAAUGAGAGAAAGAGACGACCUUCUGAGAAAGAUGAAUGAGAGGAUUCAGAUGCUGGAACGCUUACUGAGGUUACUAGAAACACUAGAGGAACAGGACAUGAAGAAAGAAGAGCAGGCCAAAAGAGAGGCUGCUGAGAGGGAAAAGCUUUUAGAGCAAAAGCUUAAAGAAUUGCAACAAAAGUUUGAGGACCAAGAAAGAGCCUUCAAGGUAUUUAGAGUCCAAAUGACAGAAAAGGUGAGAGAAAGAGACAAUUUUCUGAGAAAGAUGAAUGAGAGGAUUGAGAUGCUGGAGGCUGCAGUGAACAAUGAUAAUGACAAGGAUAAUGAGGAAAACACUGAAAAGUACUGAACUUCAUAGACACAGGAAGAUAAUGACAAAGAAAAUACUUCACAGCCUUUUGUUUUAAUCUCAGUUUGGGAGAAUAUAAAACAUGUGUGGUCACUAAUUACUCAGAUUUUUUGUUUGUUUCUUUUAAAUUCUGGUAAUAUUAAAGUUUUCACAAGUGCUUUUUUGAUCUGGAUUAUUUCUAUCUAUGUAUGUACUUUUUCUUUUAUCAUUAAAGUUUUAAUGUAAAAAAUAGAAAAAUCAUCUACUAUAGAACAUCAAUUCCUGGCCCACAAAGGAAAGAAUUAGUGUGGCUGGAUAAUUAAUUUAAGUGGAAAUGGAAGCAACUGAGUAGAAGACAAAGAGGUCAAAUUUGUAAUAUCUUGAAAAAAAGAAAAAUUUUAUUAAGUAAUGCUUCUGAAAGUCACAUAUGAAUAAUUAUACAAAUGAAUAUGUAUACUGGUUUCUUGAGAGGAAAGGACUAAUUUCUUAUACAAAACAACUGUGUUACUUCACUUGUAAAUUUUAUGUGUUUUGAGUUAAAAUUUCACAAAAGCUGAUUGUAAAUUUUAAAUUGAGCUGAUCAAACACAUUAAAAAGCCAUGAAAAUUCAGAAGGGGUACAGGGUUUGGGAAGUUUUCAGCCAUAAUUUCUUCUAUAAAUGAAGUUUAUAGAACUGCAGUCAUUAGAACAAUGUGCCAUCAAGGCAUAAAUCUGAAGACAAAGAAUAACAGCAUGCUGCAUAGUCUAAAAAUAGAACCAACAACAUACCUGAUUAAGGUUGUGUGAAUAGUGUUGUUUCAGAUCAGUGAGACAAUAUAAACAGUACAUGAAGUGCUGUCAGUCUACUGGACAGCCAUAUAGAAUGAGAGUGCCUAGAUCGCUUAUAAAUCUUGCACAAAUAAUAUUCCAGCUUGACUUUAGAUUUAAACAUUAAAAAUAAUCUUGAUAAAAACAGUAAAUGUCAGAUAAUUAUAAAAUAAAUGUGGAAACUUGAAUUUAUUUUUAAGUGAC
ensembl:lncRNA